CUCAGUUAAAGAGAGAUUGCUUAGACAUAAACCUAUGCUAAUGAGACAGAUGACACUUGAAGAAGUCUUUAAAAACGCCGUCUGUCGUAGUACUGCUUCGUAACUUGAAAAUCCUGUUCCUGACCCAUCAGCUUUCUUCUUCUCAAGUCCUUGGCUGGAAGGACGACCCUGAUGACAAGGUGGAAACCUCAAACUGAAGAUCAGUUGUUUGGCGCAGGUUUUCAGAGCCCUACCAGGUGCAGCAUCAGGGCCCGCCACCUUGUGAAGGUUUAUCCACAUGAAAGCUGUCCUGAUGUUGGCCUCCAAGACAGAGAUGCUGCAAGG